GCUGUCUUGGCAGAAACAAUGCGCUAGAUUUAGGAUCUAACUAUAUAGAUUAUAUUAACUAUAGAUAGUA
rnacentral:tRNA from 1 species